rnacentral:rRNA from 1 species
GUGGGGAAUAUUGGGCAAUGGAUGCAAGUCUGACCCAGCCAUCCCGCGUGCCGGAAGAAGGCCCUCAGGGUUGUAAACGGCUUUUGACGGUGAAGAAUCGACAGGAUGCGUCCUGUUUUGACGGUAGCCGUUGAAUAAGCACCGGCUAACUCCGUGCCAGCAGCCGCGGUAAUACGGAGGGUGCGAGCGUUGUCCGGAUUUAUUGGGUUUAAAGGGUGCGUAGGCUGGAAGGUCAGUCAGCGGUGAAAAGCUGUCGCUUAACGAUAGUCUUGCCGCAGAUACUUCCUUUCUUGGAUGAGGAGGAGGCCACUGGAACGGAUGGUGUAGCGGUGAAAUGCAUAGAUAUCAUCCAGAACACCGAUUGCGAAGGCAGGUGGCUGUACCUUAAUCGACGCUGAUGCACGAAAGCAUGGGGAGCAAACAGGAUUAGAAACCCUUGUAGUCC